rnacentral:tRNA from 1 species
GGGGCCGUAGCUCAGUCGGUAGAGCGCCUGCUUUGCAAACAUGAUGCCAACGGUUCGAUUCCGCUCGGCUCCA